UGCUCCUUCCCCUUAUUGUAUCUUAUCCGCUUCCUUUCCAGAGCGGCGGCGGAGGACAAGAAGGUGAAGGGCGGCGCGGCGCUCUCCGACUUAUUCCUCCACACCACCUACGCGUCGUCGUCCGUCUGCGCGGUCGCCGGCGGCUACCGCGCCCUGCGCGAGCGCUCGAACUGCUGGUGGAGGGAGAGCAUUCGUGGAGGAGGCAUGGUGAGUAUGCCGUGCACCAGCGCCGUUGUCGUCCGCAGCACGGUCGCGGAUGAAGCUCUGGAUGGUGCGCGCCGCCAUGACCAUGUUGCUCUGGACCUGCGUCAUGCAGCUCACCGCCGUCGGUGAGACGUGGGGCCCCCAGGUUCUCAAGGGAUGGACGUCCCGCCUCACGGCCCCCGAGGAGGCUGCCGCCGUGCGCCCGGCCGUCAUCGAGAGGGCCGCGUUGCCAUCGUGCAAAACAUAGAUUUCAUCAACCUGGGAAUGGGAUGAUACAGAUUGGUGGUUGGCGUCGAUUUUGCUCGCUUCAUUGUGUAACAUCGAGUCUCCACUGCCAGUCCUCUACGAUCUAACCAAUCAGGCCUCCAUCGACGUAAGCUUCUUAAUCUCCGAUAUCCUGCUCCGUGUCUGAUUUGGAUUGAAUUCGUGACCGUGUCCUACUGUCCUUCUCCAACACAAAUCAAUGGAUUGCCUGACCCGGAUUGGACUUCCCUCCUAUAAGAAGGAAGGGUCCUCGACCGGAAUCUCCAUCAGGUUGCGUACUUGGACCGAAAAAUCCAUCAAAUCUCGGAAUACUUGGACGAGAAAAGCAUCAUGUCGCCUUCAACUUCGCCGGAGGUAGAAGAACAUCCGUCGAGCCGUCUAAUAUCGCGGCUACAGCAAAGGUUCAAGGUGAUCAGGUACGGCUCAUGGGCUGCUACAACUAUUAGUGGGACAAAAGGGUUGUGCAUGCACAUGCUUAUUGAUUGAAGGCAUAAUUAUGGGAGAUGGUGCAUGGUCCAGAUGAAUAGAUGGAACCCGUCGAGAGAAAAGAAAAAGAAGAAUAAGAAGAAAAUUGUUCUUCGUAAACAAGUACUCCCUCCAUCCCACUUAUGUUGGGACGGAAUACAUAUUACAUCAUAUGUAACUGGAGAAUGGCGGCAUGUCACGAUCAGGCAAGAACUCUGAUGCCGGUGUGCACUUGCUGAAUAUAGAUGAUUGUGAUGGCCUUAUUCCUUGGAUGUGUAGGGAGCUUCAACCUGGUACGUAGCUUAUUACCUCCUACUUUUUGCGCCUACAAAAAAGUAUGUACAUUGAUAUAUGUGGUUUAAUCAGUACCAUGCAUCAUAACCUAUCCUUCGUUUUACUGAAGUUUUUAGUUAUUUAUUUCUUGGCCGAAUAAAUCCCCUUUCGUAUGUAAAAUACAAUUGAUCAUCAUGACAUCCCCACCGAGGCGCCCCGCGUCUGCGCCCCGUAAUCCUACACGGAUCUCCGCCGAGGCCAUGACAUCCCCACCCAGGUAUAGGAGCAUAUUGAUCUCAAAAAGGCACCAACCCAAUUGAACCUCUCCCCUGACCCUUUCUUCUCCAUCUUCCAAUCUCAUCUGUUAAGUUUAUAUCAGUUUAUUAAGAUGGUUUCCUAUCCGUUAUGCAGUUUAUGUGUGAAUCCUGCAAGUCUUCAUGUUCAAUUGUGGUUGUCAUGUCGAAUUCGUAUUGAUCAUACUGAGCGCAAACUGUAGGGUUAGCUGUGUUUGAUGUUGAAUCCCUGAUGAUUACAUUGUUGGAAAAUUAUUCCUGGUUUCCUUUCUGUUAGUCAGUUUUAAGUGUGAAUGGUACAAGUCAUAUUAUUUGAUUGUUCUUCUCUUACCGAAUCUGUCCCGAGCAUAUUGUUCACAAACUAUAUUUCUAUUCAAUAUGUCAGUCUUAUUUCAGUGAUUGUUUUGUUAAUGUUCAAAUCAGCUACAUUAAACCUAAAAUCAUAUGGGAAUCAGUGCGAUUUACAUGGACUCUUUGGGGAGAUACUUUUCAACUGUGGAACAACAAUAAAGCAUGUUAGUUACAUGGCGGAGAUGGGCUACUUAGUUGAUCUCAACCAUUUUGCAAUUCACUUUUAAUCUGAAAAACUGUACCUUAUAGUGAUCAUGACUUCUUUAGGUUCUGAGGGCUUAGAUUGAAAAAAUCAAGACAAUUUUUUGUAUUGCAGUGGGGUUGGCUGCUGUAUUGACGAUUUGGAGGUUUAUGAAUGAGGCCUGUUUUGAGAAUAAAUGCGGUGUCUGAUACUUUUGUUCUGAUUCAUGUGGUUUGUUAUUUGGUUAAACUGAUGGUCAAUUUUGCAGAUUAGUGCUGAUUUGGGGAGUAAAGCUCUUCGAGCAAGUGACAAAUCAUGUCUUUCGAGCAUCUCAAAGAUGGCGACCUAGAGUCGUUUGACUGGCAGCUUAAAAGCAAUUAAAGUGAACAGAGGAAUCAAACUUUAAAGCCACUCUUGCCAUUUGUGGACUGUUCCUGCUUGUUGGUGACUGCUUUUGCGAGUAUGUUCACUCUCAUCUAGCGAUGAAAUAUUUUGUUUCUAUUGCGCAGCUGCUGAAAGGGCAAACCCCGGAUCCUAGAUAUCUGUGGGUUUUGGGUGCCCUCUGGGGUUACCUGAAUGUUCCUAUUUCUGUUUUCUUCUUCCCUUUUUAGUUUUCUUCAUGCUGUAGAUGAACUUUUGGUUUCUGUUAAUAGAAUUCAGAGAGGAGGUUCUCUUUUAGAAAAUCUAAUGAGGGGGAGACUGAAUGACCGAGUGUAGAUGACACUGACCAAGUUUAUUAGUAUGUGAUCCUACAUGUUGCUCCAUUAAUUAGAUAAUUCCUGUAUGCUUAACUGUUUCCUCGCUCAGUCCAAUAACGAUGACAGAUCCGAGGGUAUCCUUUGUAGCUGAAGGAAAAGAGGUAUGCAAGGGUGUAUUCCAUAUAUUGUUCUAUCUUUGUGUCAUUAUAACAUAUA